GUCGAGUUGUUUGGGAAUGCUGCUCAAAAUGGGAGGUAAACCCCUUCUAAAGCUAAAUAUUGGCCAGAGACCGAUAGCGCACAAGUAGAGUGAUCGAAAGAUGAAAAGCACUUUGAAAAGAGAGUUAAACAGCACGUGAAAUUGUUGAAAGGGAAGCGUUUGCGACCAGACUUGUGCUCGUCGAAUCAGCCGUCGCUCGUCGGCGGUGCAUUUCGGCGGGCUCAGGCCAGCAUCAGUUCGCUGUAGGGGGAGAAAGGCGGAAGGAAUGUGGCUCUUCGGAGUGUUAUAGCCUACCGUAUAAUACCCCUCGGUGGACUGAGGACCGCGCAUCUGCAAGGAUGCUGGCGUAAUGGUUGUCAGCGACCCGUCUUGAAACACGG
rnacentral:rRNA from 1 species